CCCGCACAAGCGUGGAGCAUGUGAUUAAUCGAUGCAACGCGAAAACCUUACUACCCUUGACAUGUCCGGAAUCCCGAAGAGAUUUGGGAGUGCUCGCAAGAGAACCGGAACACAGGUGCUGCAUGGCUGUCGUCAGCUCGUGUCGUGAGAUGUUGGGUUAAGUCCCGCAACGAGCGCAACCCUUGUCAUUAGUUGCCAUCAUUUGUUGGGCACUCUAAUGAGACUGCCGGUGACAAACCGGAGGAAGUGGGGAUGACGUCAAGUCCUCAUGGCCCUUAUGGGUAGGGCUUCACACGUCAUACAAUGGUCGGUACAGAGGGUUGCCAACCCGCGAGGGGGAGCUAAUCCCACAAAGCCGAUCGUAGUCCGGAUCGCAGUCUGCAACUCGACUGCGUGAAGUCGGAAUCGCUAGUAAUCGUGGAUCAGCAUGUCACGGUGAAUACGUUCCCGGGUCUU
rnacentral:rRNA from 1 species